UACGAAGGGUGCAAGCGUUAAUCGGAAUUACCGGGCGUAAAGCGCGCGUAGGUGGUUCAGUAAGUUGGAAGUGAAAUCCCCGGGCUCAACCUGGGAACUGCUUUCAAAACUGCUGAGCUAGAGUACGGUAGAGGGUGGUGGAAUUUCCUGUGUAGCGGUGAAAUGCGUAGAUAUAGGAAGGAACACCAGUGGCGAAGGCGACCACCUGGACUGAUACUGACACUGAGGUGCGAAAGCGUGGGGAGCAAACAGG
rnacentral:rRNA from 1 species